rnacentral:rRNA from 1 species
UACGUAGGGGGCGAGCGUUGUCCGGAUUUAUUGGGCGUAAAGAGCUCGUAGGCGGUUCGAUAAGUCGGACGUGAAAUCUCCACGCUCAACGUGGAGGGGCCGUUCGAUACUGUCGUGACUCGAGUCCGGUAGGGGAGUGUGGAAUUCCCGGUGUAGCGGUGAAAUGCGCAGAGAUCGGGAGGAACACCCGUAGCGAAGGCGGCACUCUGGGCCGACAUUGACGCUGAGGAGCGAAAGCGUGGGGAGCGAACAGG